UACAGAGGGUGCAAGCGUUAAUCGGAAUUACUGGGCGUAAAGCGCGCGUAGGUGGUUCGUUAAGUUGGAUGUGAAAUCCCCGGGCUCAACCUGGGACUUGCAGUUGAAACUGGAAAGCUAGAGUAGGGUAGAGGGGUGUGGAAUUCCAGGUGUAGCGGUGAAAUGCGUAGAGAUAUGGAGGAACACCAGUGGCGAAGGCGACUUUCUGGUCUGCAACUGACACUGAGGCGCGAAAGCGUGGGGAGCAAACAGG
rnacentral:rRNA from 1 species